UAAUUUUGGAAGAAAAUAUUAAAAAAAAAAAGAACUGUAACUCGCUCAGAAAUCCUCCAGAACGACAGGAUACAUGGGAUUUAAUGCAUUGGGAGACGAGCUUGACAGGCUGGCAAAAAAUAGCUGUCCAGGAUAAUUACCUAGGUAAUCUCCAUAAAAGGCAUGAUAGGUAGUGCGCUUCUCAGCUUUAGGUGUUCUCCAUGACAAGUAAAGCAGCUUCUAUCUGCUUUCUGAGCGGCUUUCAUUUUGGGCGAGACUGGUAAAGACAAGUUUCUACAGAAUCCAGCUCAGAAGGGCUACAAUUUCGACAUUCUUUUAGUGCUAAUGGUGUUGUGGUAGUGGGACAAAGAGCAGGAACUCUGAAAGGGUUUUACUGGCACGGAGCACCAGAGUGACAGUUUGAAGGUUACAUUACCUUAUGAAGAAGUUGUCUGCCGUACCUUAUGAAGAUAAUUGAUCAGCUGCUGAAUUGAAUUCUGGGGUGAAGAAAAUUGUUGUAUCUUGCACGUUCAUUCGCCUUCUGAAGAAAAGUUUUACACGUGCCUUUAUCUUUUGAAGAAAAACGGAUUUGCAUAAAUCUCAAUUUAUUUUCAAAUUAAUUCCUGCAUGAAUAUGUAUGCUUAUGCACACUGGACCAUUUGGAUUGAAUGGCUCUGCUUUUAGCGAUUCUUGCAGCUGCUUUCAGUAUCUUUAGUUCUGACAUUGCUGUUACUAGAACUUCGAAGUCUGCUUUAACGCAUAAAGGGAAAUGUAAGAUCUGUUCUCAGUGACCAGAUUUGGGGGUAUGUCUGUAGCCCACUUCCUCAGGAGAAUAUAGGAUGGACUGAUAUGCCAUCCAUGUUAUCUGUACGGCGUUUACAGUCUUCUAAACUGGAAAGAUUUGCAAUAAAAACAAAUUUCAAAGAACCUUGCAGUUUUAAAAAUAUGCCAU